rnacentral:rRNA from 1 species
UACGGAGGGUGCAAGCGUUAUCCGGAUUCACUGGGUUUAAAGGGUGCGUAGGAGGGCAGGUAAGUCAGUGGUGAAAUCCCCGAGCUUAACUUGGGAACUGCCGUUGAUACUAUCUGUCUUGAAUAUUGUGGAGGUGAGCGGAAUAUGUCAUGUAGCGGUGAAAUGCUUAGAUAUGACAUAGAACACCAAUUGCGAAGGCAGCUCGCUACACAAAUAUUGACUCUGAGGCACGAAAGCGUGGGGAGCAAACAGG